GACGAACGCUGGCGGCGUGCUUAACACAUGCAAGUCGAACGGAAAGGCCCUGCUUUUGUGGGGUGCUCGAGUGGCGAACGGGUGCGUAACACGUGAGUAACCUGCCCUUGACUUUGGGAUAACUUCAGGAAACUGGGGCUAAUACCGGAUAGGAGCUCCUGCUGCAUGGUGGUGGUUGGUAAGUUUCGGCGGUUGGGGAUGGACUCGCGGCUUAUCUGCUUGUUGGUGGGGUAGUGGCUUACCAAGGCUUUGACUGGUAGCCGGCCUGGGAGGGUGACCGGCCGCAUUGGGACUGAGAUACGGACCAGACUCCUACGGGAGGCAGCAGUGGAGAAUAUUGCACAAUGGGCGGAAGCCUGAUGCAGCAAAGCCGCGUGCGGGAUGACGGCCUUCGGAUUGUAAACCGCUUUCGCCUGUGACGAAGCGUGAGUGACGGUAAUGGGUAAAGAAGAAUCGGCUAACUACGUG
rnacentral:rRNA from 1 species